AUGCAGUCGAGCGAAUGGAUUAAGAGCUUGCUCUUAUGAAGUUAGCGGCGGACGGGUGAGUAACACGUGGGUAACCUGCCCAUAAGACUGGGAUAACUCCGGGAAACCGGGGCUAAUACCGGAUAACAUUUUGAACCGCAUGGUUCGAAAUUGAAAGGCGGCUUCGGCUGUCACUUAUGGAUGGACCCGCGUCGCAUUAGCUAGUUGGUGAGGUAACGGCUCACCAAGGCAACGAUGCGUAGCCGACCUGAGAGGGUGAUCGGCCACACUGGGACUGAGACACGGCCCAGACUCCUACGGGAGGCAGCAGUAGGGAAUCUUCCGCAAUGGACGAAAGUCUGACGGAGCAACGCCGCGUGAGUGAUGAAGGCUUUCGGGUCGUAAAACUCUGUUGUUAGGGAAGAACAAGUGCUAGUUGAAUAAGCUGGCACCUUGACGGUACCUAACCAGAAAGCCACGGCUAACUACGUGCCAGCAGCCGCGGUAAUACGUAGGUGGCAAGCGUUAUCCGGAAUUAUUGGGCGUAAAGCGCGCGCAGGUGGUUUCUUAAGUCUGAUGUGAAAGCCCACGGCUCAACCGUGGAGGGUCAUUGGAAACUGGGAGACUUGAGUGCAGAAGAGGAAAGUGGAAUUCCAUGUGUAGCGGUGAAAUGCGUAGAGAUAUGGAGGAACACCAGUGGCGAAGGCGACUUUCUGGUCUGUAACUGACACUGAGGCGCGAAAGCGUG
rnacentral:rRNA from 1 species